rnacentral:rRNA from 1 species
UACGUAGGGUGCGAGCGUUGUCCGGAAUUAUUGGGCGUAAAGGGCUCGUAGGCGGUCUAUCACGUCGGGAGUGAAAACACGGGGCUUAACCCCGUGCCUGCUUCCGAUACGGGCAGACUAGAGGUAUGCAGGGGAGAACGGAAUUCCUGGUGUAGCGGUGAAAUGCGCAGAUAUCAGGAGGAACACCGGUGGCGAAGGCGGUUCUCUGGGCAUUACCUGACGCUGAGGAGCGAAAGUGUGGGGAGCGAACAGG